rnacentral:tRNA from 1 species
ACCAGUGUGGCUUAGUGGAUAGAGCACAAGCCUGGGAAUCAGAAGACCUGGGUUCUAAUCCCAGCUCUGCCA